GACGAACGCUGGCGGCGUGCCUAAUACAUGCAAGUCGAACGCACUCUCGUUUAGAUUGAAGGAGCUUGCUCCUGAUUGAUAAACAUUUGAGUGAGUGGCGGACGGGUGAGUAACACGUGGGUAACCUGCCCUAAAGUGGGGGAUAACAUUUGGAAACAGAUGCUAAUACCGCAUAAAACCUAACACCGCAUGGUGUAGGGUUGAAAGAUGGUUUCGGCUAUCACUUUAGGAUGGACCCGCGGUGCAUUAGUUAGUUGGUGAGGUAAAGGCUCACCAAGACCGUGAUGCAUAGCCGACCUGAGAGGGUAAUCGGCCACACUGGGACUGAGACAGGCCCAGACUCCUACGGGAGGCAGCAGUAGGGAAUCUUCCACAAUGGACGAAGUCUGAUGGAGCAACGCCG
rnacentral:rRNA from 1 species